AACGUAGGAGACAAACGUUAUCCGGAGUUACUGGGCGUAAAGGGCGUGUAGGUGGUUUCGUAAGUCUGGCGUGAAAUAUCUCGGCUUAACCGAGGCAGGUCGUCGGAUACUGCGGGACUAGAGGACGGUAGAGGCGUGUGGAAUUCCGGGUGUAGUGGUGAAAUGCGCAGAUAUCAGGAGGAACACCGGUGGCGAAGGCGGGUCUCUGGGCCGAUACUGACGCUGAGGAGCGAAAGCGUGGGGAGCGAACAGG
rnacentral:rRNA from 1 species